CAUGGUGAACGGGUGAGUAACACAUAAGAAUCAGCUUUUAGAUAAGGCAUAAAAGAGUAAUAUCUUGGUAAUUCCUUAUAUGCGCAGCAGUGCUUAAAAAGGGGACUCCCGUCUAAAAACGAGCUUAUGCCUGAUUAGCUAGUUGGCGAGUUAAAAGCUCACCAAGGCGAAGAUCAGUAGCUGGCCUGAGAGGGCGGCCAGCCACAUUGGGACUGAGACACGGCCCAAACUCCUACGGGAGGCAGCAGUGGGGAAUCUUCUGCAAUGGGCGCAAGCCUGACAGAGCGGCGUCAUGUGAAGGAAGAAGGCCUGAAAUAGGUUGUAAACUUCUUUUACUGAGUAAUGAAUACUGACAACGCAGUAAAAAAGUAUCGGCUAACUCCGUGCCAGCAGCCGCGGUAAUACGGGGGAUGCAAGCGU
rnacentral:rRNA from 1 species